AUACCCUAUCUGUCACAUUUCGGUGUGACGUGUCUAGUGUCACUAUGCUUGCAUAGAGUCACUGCUUGUAUUGGGGUUGCCAUGUUGCUGUAGUGAAGUAACACUCUGAACUACGUAACAUAGCGUUAGCCUCUUGCUUUCCUAAUACGACCUGAAAUUAAGCAAGAUUACCCGCUGAAUUUAAGCAUAUAAUUAAGUGGUGGAAAAGAAACUAACCAGAAUUCCCUUAGUAAUGGCGAAUGAACAGGGAAGAGCUCAAGAUGAAAAUCAGAGGUUCACGCCUUUGAAUUGUAGUCUCAAGAGGUGUUACCAGUGAAGGCGCAGGGAUAAGUCUCUUGGAAAAGAGCAUCGGAGAGGGUGAAAAUCCCGUUCACGCUCUGUAGACCUUCGCGUACGGCACACCUUCAACGAGUCGCGUUCCUUGGAAGUGGAGCGCUAAAUGGAAGGUAAAUUUCUUCUAAAGCUAAAUAUUUGUGGGAGACCGAUAGCGAACAAGUACCAUGAGGGAAAGAUGAAAAGGACUUUGGAAAGAGAGUUAAAAGUGCCUGAAAUCGCUAAAAGGGAAGCGAAUAGAAUCAUUUCUGUUGGGGUAUUUGCGGGUUGUGAAGGUGAAACUCCUGCGUUGACCGUAAGGCUGCGUAGGACUUUAGCUUGAAUGGCUCGUCUCGUACCCUGACGUAAGCAGCAUCAGUUGUUGACGGAUGAAGACUAGGCAGGAAGGUGAGCCUCUCGGGGCUGUUAAGACUGCUGUUGGGAAUCCGUUAGCGACUGAGGUUUACUGGUAGCAGCAACACUUACGAGAACUGUUGCCAUAAGAUGCUGAUGAAGUGGUUCUAUCCGACCCGUCUUGAAACACGGACCAAGGAGUCUAACAUGCAUGCAAGUGUACUGUCUGCAAAACUGUACGCGUAAUGAAAGUAAUAGUUGGGAUAUUUGCACCAACGACCGACCGCUUCUGUGGCAGGUUUGAGUAAAAGCACAUCUGUUAGGACCCGAAAGAUGGUGAACUAUGCCUGAGUAGGGUGAAGCCAGGGGAAACUCUGGUGGAGGCUCGUAGCGAUACUGACGUGCAAAUCGUUCGUCGAACUUGGGUAUAGGGGCGAAAGACUAAUCGAACCAUCUAGUAGCUGGUUCCCUC
rnacentral:misc_RNA from 1 species